rnacentral:rRNA from 1 species
UAGGGAAUCUUCGGCAAUGGGGGGAACCCUGACCGAGCAACGCCGCGUGAGUGAAGAAGGUUUUCGGAUCGUAAAGCUCUGUUGUUAAGGAAGAACGAGUGUGAGAAUGGAAAGUUCAUACUGUGACGGUACUUAACCAGAAAGGGACGGCUAACUACGUGCCAGCAGCCGCGGUAAUACGUAGGUCCCGAGCGUGUCCGGAUUUAUUGGGCGUAAAGCGAGCGCAGGCGGUUAGAUAAGUCUGAAGUUAAAGGCAGUGGCUCAACCAUUGUAGGCUUUGGAAACUGUUUAACUUGAGUGCAGAAGGGGAGAGUGGAAUUCCAUGUGUAGCGGUGAAAUGCGUAGAUAUAUGGAGGAACACCGGUGGCGAAAGCGGCUCUCUGGUCUGUAACUGACGCUGAGGCUCGAAAGCGUGGGGAGCGAACAGG